UCGUGGGCUCGUAGAUGCAUAUAAGACACAAGCCCGGUCCCAUCCCGAACCCGGAAGCUAAGACCCACAGCGCCGAUGGUACUGCACCCGGGAGGGUGUGGGAGAGUAGGACGCCGCCGGAC
rnacentral:rRNA from 1 species